AUAUUUUUUCUUUUCCCUUAUUUCCUUUCUAGAUUAGAAAUCUUUUAGGCAUUGUGUGUGUAGUUCGAUGGUAGAUUGCUCGGCAUGCAUUCCUCUAUGUUUAGAGUGUUACUGAAAAAAAUCAACAUUUUAGGAAAUUUACAUUAAUUGCUUGUUAUUUUUUGAGUGCAUUUGCAUGACGUCUUUGUAAGAAUGACCUGUUGAUGGGGAAGAUGUGACAGUUUCCUUUGCAGUGCUGUCUUAUUUCCAUAGGCUGAAAUUACAAACAGUGUAAGUUGCUUCCACUGAGCGUCAAGUAGUUAAUACCAAGUGACUAUAUAAAGUCAGCUCCCAGGAAAGAGAAUGAAAAAAUGAGAACGUGUAUUGUGGGGAAAUUAUGGAUGAACAGAAGCCACACAAAACCACUAAACAGAAAGAUGUGACUGAGUGUGACAACAAUGGAAACUGAUGGAGUACAGAGCAAACACUGAAGAAAAGCUUCUUGCAAGGAAAAAUAAGCUAAGGGUCAAUCACUCUGCAAAGGUUCUGUUUUCCUGUGGUUAUGAAGAAAUUCCAGGAGUCUGAGGCAACAUGAAUUACCUCUGGGGAAGUCAAGACAGAGGAAGGAAUUCCCUUGAAGUUGUGGUUUUGAUGCUGCUUGUUUAGAGGACUAUUCGUGGGCUGAGAACAGGCUGUACAGAUUUCUGAGUUGGGAACCAUGCAAAAUUACAUGGCCCUGGACCGUGGAUGUAGUAACAAUAUCCCUUGGGAGUCUUUCAUCUCUAUACUCAUGGAAGUAUUGGGGCCUACUACGUUCAGCACUACUAACAGGUAAUAAAAUACAGCAUGAACGCACCUAUAAGAGUCUCACGGGUUGAGCUUCUGAUGUUAGAAAUACUAGUUGGAACGAAGACAGGCUCUUCCUUGGGUGUUCAUGUGAUAUGGUAAAGGGGCCCAGGCAUAGAUGGCGGUGGCGGGCACAUGUUACUCUUUAACAUCUGCAAAUGGAGCUUUUCCCAUGCUGCCCGUCCUUCUUAAUUGCAUCAUAUUUUUGAUUAACUCCACCAUCAAUGAGACUUUUUUUUCACUAAUGUCAUGGAGAAAUCACACAAGAAGAUGCUCUUUCUUAAAUGUUAUGUGUGUUUGUAAGAUGUGGCAUUGGGCUGUAGGGAAACGCAGAAGCGCAAGACGGCGGUACUUUGGUUCAGGCCAUGGGGUGAAGGUGACCUGGGAGGCAGCGGGAUCUGUGUCAACACGACCCGAGUGCAGGUGCGUCUCCAGGUACCCGAUGUAAAUAACUUCUGUAGCCAAGGUCACUACUGGCACGUGGCUAGCUUUGGGCAUUUUGGUAUAAAUGCAGAAUAAGCGGACAGGGACAGCUGCCCGGAGGGGAGACCAAGCAGCCCACACCCCGGAAAGUGUACAGUGCUGGGGCUGCAAGAGCUGAUAAGCAGAUGGACGGCAGCUGAGCCGCGGAAGGAGGACGCUGCAUCGAGUCCCCAGUUCUGUGUCUCUUCAUGGGGUGGUCUGAAUCUCAAGUCAACCUCCCCAGUGUGAACUGGUGACAAGACCACAGGCUAGAAACUUCUCAAAAUAUUCAGCAUCAAAAUCUCUACGAAGGAAGCUAAUUUCAAAUUGGUUUUACUGAAAGUAACAUCUUUUAUUUCAAUCAAGGAAAUUUACCCAAAUCUCUCCUAUUGAUUAUCCUCGGAUCCCAUUCACUUACUCAAAAGAGUUCUUUUCUCUAUGAUUUUGAAAAUCCAUGUUUAGAAUUUUUACAAUACAAAAAUGAUUCCCCUGCAAUUAGGCAGCCUU